rnacentral:tRNA from 1 species
GAGCCGCGUGGCGUAGUGGUUACGUGCUUGCACUGCCAUUCACACGGUCAGGAGUUCGAACCCCUUGUGGGUCA